AAACUCAAAGGAAUUGACGGGGACCCGCACAAGCGGUGGAUGAUGUGGAUUAAUUCGAUGCAACGCGAAAAACCUUACCUACCCUUGACAUGUCAGGAAUCCUGCUGAGAGGUGGGAGUGCUCGAAAGAGAACCUGAACACAGGUGCUGCAUGGCUGUCGUCAGCUCGUGUCGUGAGAUGUUGGGUUAAGUCCCGCAACGAGCGCAACCCUUGUCAUUAGUUGCCAUCAUUCAGUUGGGCACUCUAAUGAGACUGCCGGUGACAAACCGGAGGAAGGUGGGGAUGACGUCAAGUCCUCAUGGCCCUUAUGGGUAGGGCUUCACACGUCAUACAAUGGUCGGUACAGAGGGUUGCCAAGCCGCGAGGUGGAGCCAAUCCCAGAAAGCCGAUCGUAGUCCGGAUCGGAGUCUGCAACUCGACUCCGUGAAGUCGGAAUCGCUAGUAAUCGUGGAUCAGCAUGCCACGGUGAAUACGUUCCCGGGUCUUGUACACACCGCCCGUCACACCAUGGGAGUGGGUUUCACCAGAAGUAGGUAGCCUAACCGCAAGGAGGGCGCUUACCACGGUGGGAUUCAUGACUGGGGUGAAGUCGUAACAAGGUAGCCGUAGGGGAACCUGCGGCUGGAUCACCUCCUUUAUG
rnacentral:rRNA from 1 species